rnacentral:rRNA from 1 species
GACGAACGCUGGCGGCGUGCUUAACACAUGCAAGUCGAACGGUAAGGCCCUGCUUUUGUUGGGUGCUCUAGUGGCGAACGGGUGAGUUACACGUGAGUAACCUGCCCUUGACUUUUGGAUAACUUCAGGAAACUGGGGCUAAUACCGGAUAGGAUCUCCUGCUUCUUGGUGGGGGUUGGAAAGUUUCGGCGGUUGGGGAUGGACUCGCGGCUUUUCAGCUUGUUGGUGGGGUAGUGGCUUACCAAGGCUUUGACGGGUAGCCGGCCUGAGAGGGUGACCGGCAACAUUGGGACUGAGAUACGGCCCAGACUCCUACGGGAGGCAGCAGUGGGGAAUAUUGCAAAAUGGGCGGAAGCCUGAUGCAGCAACGCCGCGUGCGGGAUGAAGGCCUUCGGGUUGUAAACCGCUUUCGCCUGUGACGAAGCGUGAGUGACGGUAAUGGGUAAAGAAGCACCGGCUAACUACGUG